UUAGUCAAGCGGCAUAGGAGAAACGGUUUAUUAAAUCAUACUAUCAACAUGCGGCGCCACGUGCGUUAUCUAUGCAGAUUUCUGUAAAUUUGGGGUACGUGGCACGGUCGUUAAUAGAAACUACUUAUGCCAUCUUUUGGUAGUGUGAUUUCAAAUUAAAUUCACGAAUUUAUCCAAAAAUCCAAAAUAUUAAGCAACCUUUGGCGCGCAAUGUCACACUACAUUCAACGGUGUCAAAAAGUUUUUUCAAUUUUAAAUGUUUCAAUUUCCAAUUUGAAUUAUUCUGCUACGUGUUGUGUUCGUGGUUUUCUCUUUUUAUUCUUAUUUGAAUUCGUUUGUUGGUGUUAUCUACUCCUAAAGUAAUCUCAAAAACAUUUAAGUUUUGAACUUUCGAAGGCUAAAUUUUGCUCUGGUGUGGACCUAUUAUACAACCUACAACGUUUAUUAAACAACUUCUGGCUGGCUGGAACACAUGAUUCUGGAAACAGUGCAUCUCUUUACUUGUGAGAGCUAUCCAGAAACAAAUCGACUUGGGCACCAAAAAUAACUUCGAGAAUUUAAACCAAAUUUCAUUUUUUGAGUGGACAUCUAUGAUGGACACCGUUUAAGACUUCUACCUUGCACAUAGUGUCUUUUAUUUAAUACACGCGUUCAUUCAUUCAUUUGUACAAAAACCACAAAAACGUAUCUUGAACUCCCUCCUUUUUACCGUUAAGUUUCAAGACUGGUGAAUCCACCAAAGUGGAGUCCUUACAUUAAAAUCAGAAAAACCUUUUACUCAUAAUAAGUUCAUAUAAGUAAAUUUGUUGUAAAGUCAUCUAUGUGAGUCUACAACCAACACGAAAACAUACAAGAAAUGUUUGCACAAACUAUUAAAAGCACUACUUUUCUGUGGAAAUUGAAUUGGGCACAUGUCUAAAACUCCAAUGGUACCUUAUUAGAGUCCGUAUUUACAUAUUUAGUUCUUUAAUUUUUUUCCAAGUUUCAAAAUAAUGUUAAAUAACCGGUUUUUGAGGGUGAGGAAGUCGCCAAAUUAAUAUGUGGAAGCCAAACACGACAUUUAUUUCUUAUAAUUGAUGUUUUCAUAAUUUGUGAAACGUUAAUUCAUUAAUAAAUUAUUUUCAUUCAA